AGCAGCUGAGAAGAGAGCUGAGGGCCAAAGCCCUGCCCUGGGGUGCAGGGGGUCCUGUAGGACUGGUCCCCCAGGCAGAUGGGAAGCUCCUCUGCAAAGCCCAAGAAGAGGGCUUCCGGGCCAGGGAGGACUCGUUCCCCAAAGUUACACGGGGCGGGAUCCGCCUAGCUGUGCUGUGGGCGGCCAGGUGCCCUUGCCCCCCUUACUGCCACACCCGCUGGUGGCUUCUUACCGUGGGCGCCUGCAAUUCCACCAGGAGCCUCCUCCGCUCGGGACCACCUUGGUUGACCCUCCAGACAGGCCGGAAGCACCAGGAAUUCAACACCCGGAGAGAAGCCCGGGAGCCACAACGAUGCCCUCUCACCCCUCAGAUGGGACAAAUCUGAGCCGGGGCCAACACCAAGGUUCUCAGCCAGGUGUGUCACUGGCCGUUUCCGGAGGCGCCAGGGUUGGAUGUCACCGUUGGCAGCCAGGGGGUAGAGGUUACGGUGCUGUAAACAUCAUGGGGUGCAGUGCUCUGAUCAGCCCCUCACAGCCAAGGCAGACUCAGCCCAAAAUGUCAUAGGGCCGAGGUUGGGAAACCCCAUCCUCCAGGUGUAACAGAGGGGCCAGCGGGAUGGAGCCCCGAUGCCUAUGGUGAUAACCUGCGGCCCACAUCCCAAGUCCCCUUCCUGUGUCCUGGGAUCGCCCCCCCACAGAACCCAGCUCGCUAGGACCCUCACCUCAGAAUCUGUUUCUGGGAGGACCUGACUGAUCACCCAUUCCUACAGUCAUGGGGAGAGCCUUAGCAACUUCCAUCCCAGCUGUUUCCUCCUGCUACACACGCUCAGUCCUAGGGACUCGCGCACACGGGUGGGGCCGCCAGAGGGGGCGCACCAGGCCAGCAUGGUGGACCAGCGAGGGGAGCUGUACUCCCCCUACAAAGUGAUAGAAGACGGGGACAAACCCACGCGACCCAUUGGACUCCAGCUGACUUCUUUUCAACAAUUGAUAAGCUGAUAACCAAAAAAAAAUUAAAAUUAAAAAAAGUAAAGUCACGCAUGGUGACACACACCUGUAAUCCCAGUAUCUGGGAAAGAGGCUGAAGCAGGAAGAUAGCCAUGAGUUCAAGGCCAGCCUGGACUGCAUAGUGAGACCCUGUGUCCAAAAACCAACACACACGCACGCACGCGCGGACAUGCGCACUCACAGAGGUAAGCUAAUUUCAGAAUUCCUACGGAUGUGCAAGAAACCAAGCACAAAAAAAAGAAAAAAAAGAAAAAGGAAAAGAAACCAACCGCAGCCAAAGCAAUCUUGAAAAAGAACCGAGCAGGACUCUCACCUCCUGAUUUCAGAACUUGCUACAAAGUAACCACAACCAAGAGGCUGCUGAAGUGGCACAGUGCAGACGGAUAGAGCAAGGGCUGACAAAAGUUAACUCAGAAUGAAUUAAAACCUACAUGUAAGGGCUAAAUCUCUCAGAAGAAAAUGUGGAGGUAAACUUCAUAGCUUUGGGUUUGGCAAAGGAUUCUCAAAUACGACCCCAAAAGCAUAAGCAAUGAAAGAAAAAAAGUUCAUGCCUCUGGCUGGAUGUGGUGGUACACACUGAAAUCCCAGCACUCUGGGAGGCUGAGGCGGGAGGACAGCAAGUUCAAGCCUAGCCUGGGCCACUUACUGACUUAGCGAGACCCUGUGUCAAAAUAAAAAAUAAAAAGGGCUGGACAGGGUCUCACUAUGUAGCCCAGGCUGGUCUUGAACUCUCUGUGAUCCUCCUGCCUCAGCCUCCCCAGUGCUGAGACUACAGGUGUGCACCACCUGCCCCACCAGGCCACAGACGUACAAGGUGUGGGAUUAGGCUGCACAGUGGGGAGAGGUUCUCUCAGCAGACAACAGGUUCAGCAACCACAGAUUUCCCUGGCCAGAUGUUUUCCAAUUUGUUUUGUGUUUGUUUGUUUGUUUGUUUUGAGACAGGGUCUGGCUAUAUAGUUCAGGCUGACCUGGAAUUUAUAGCUAUCCUCCUGCCUCAGCCUCUUGAGUGCUGGGAUUACAGCCAUGCACCACCAUGUAUGGCUUAUUUUCCAGUUUGUUCCUGGCCUCUGUGAUUCUCUACUCUCAUAUACGUGCCUCCAUCAACUGAAGAGGAUUUCAAAAAUGUUUCUUCUAGCAUUUUAAAUAUUUUGUAGCUGAUAGGUUUAUAAAUCUUAGUCAUCACAUACAUAAUUAUAGAUACAUAUUAUAGAGAGAGGAAUUUUAAUCCCAGCUGGGCAUAAUGGCACACACCUGUCAUCCCACCUACUCAGGGAGCUGAGGCAGGAGGAUCACAAGUUCAAGCCCAGCCUCGCAACUUAGCAAGAUCUUGUCUCUUAAAAAUUAAAAAAAGGUUGGGGAUGAAGCUUAGCUCUCUGUGGAUUCAAUCCCAGUGCCACAAAAAUAAAUAUAAUAAAAUCUCUUUGUUCCUUGUCCAGUGUUCAUAGUUUCAGCAAAUAAUCAUUAAGCACCUACUGUGUGCCAUGAACCGUGCUAAGGAUCCAGGGAGAAACAAGGCACAGGUGUCCCUGUUGUUUACAGACACCAGGCAACCAAAG
ensembl:lncRNA